rfam:Capsicum annuum cultivar Zunla-1 chromosome 12, whole genome shotgun sequence
AGGAGCUGUAUGAGGUGAAAAUCUCACGUACGGUUCUGUAAUAGCGAUGGGCACAUGUGUAUCGAAGGAAUAGUUUCUUCAAAGCGAAUUCUCCCUAGGUACAUCUAGUUAAUUUAAU